CCCUUAGAGUUUGAUCCUGGCUCAGAUUGAACGCUGGCGGCAGGCCUAACACAUGCAAGUCGAGCGGUAGCACAGAGAGCUUGCUCUCGGGUGACGAGCGGCGGACGGGUGAGUAAUGUCUGGGAAACUGCCUGAUGGAGGGGGAUAACUACUGGAAACGGUAGCUAAUACCGCAUAACGUCGCAAGACCAAAGUGGGGGACCUUCGGGCCUCAUGCCAUCAGAUGUGCCCAGAUGGGAUUAGCUAGUAGGUGAGGUAACGGCUCACCUAGGCGACGAUCCCUAGCUGGUCUGAGAGGAUGACCAGCCACACUGGAACUGAGACACGGUCCAGACUCCUACGGGAGGCAGCAGUGGGGAAUAUUGCACAAUGGGCGCAAGCCUGAUGCAGCCAUGCCGCGUGUGUGAAGAAGGCCUUCGGGUUGUAAAGCACUUUCAGCGGGGAGGAAGGCGUUAAGGUUAAUAACCUUGGCGAUUGACGUACCCGCAGAAGAAGCCACCGGCAACUCC
rnacentral:rRNA from 1 species